UCAUUAGUUUUUUAAUUGAAAGCUAGUAUGAAUGGUUUGAUGAGAAGGAGACUUUCUAAACUUUAUUAGUUAAAAAUUUUAUUUUUAAGUUAAAAAGCUUAAAUUUUUUUAAAAGACGAGAAGACCCUAUAGAGUUUAAUUUACAUUAAAUUUUAAAUUUUUAGUAUUUUAAUACUUAUAAUUUAUAUUAAAUUUGAUUGGGGUGAUAAAAAAAUUAAAUAAACUUUUUUAAUUUAAUACAUUAAUUUAUGAGUAAUUGAUCCAUAAAAAUGAUUAUAAGAAUAAAUUACCUUAGGGAUAACAGCGUAAUUUUUUUUUAGAGUUCAAAUCGAAAAAAAAGAUUGCGACCUCGAUGUUGGAUUAAAGUUAAAAUUAGGUGUAGAAGCUUAGU
rnacentral:rRNA from 1 species